CGCCCACUGAACCAUGAAAAUGAGUUCCAAGGUCAGAUGACACUUGCCAGUUGGACCCAACUCGGACAUGUUCACCUUACAAUCAUUCCAUAUACCAAAUAUAGUUGACCUAUUGCACACAGUACUUUAAAAACAGACCCGAACACAACCACUUAACUAUAACCCCUGAACCAUGAAAAUGAGGUCAAGGUCAGAUGACACUUGCCAAUUGGACUCAACUUGGUCAUGUUCACUUUAGUCAUUCCAUACACCAAAUAUAGUAGACCUACUGCACACAGUACUUUAAUAAAGGGCUGCGCUUUAGCGCAUGAUAUGCCCGUUGUUUGAAAGACGACGGGCGUAUAAAAAUGGCAAAAAAGACUACAAUGACAAUGAGGAGCAGCAAGAAGAUAACAGGGAAAGUGAAGAUGGUGAAAUUGACUCUACUGAAAGUUAUGAUCUAAAUGAGGAAGUAGGUGAUGAAAGUAAGGAUUUCAUUGACGACGGGCGUAUAAAAAUGGCAAAAAAGACUACAAUGACAAUGAGGAGCAGCAAGAAGAUAACAGGGAAAGUGAAGAUGGUGAAAGUGACUCUUCUGAAAGUUAUGAUCUAAAUGAGGAAGUAGGUGAUGAAAGUAAGGAUUUCAUUGAUGAUAAAGAUAAAGAUUUCAUUGAUGAUGAGGAGGCCUCUUCUGAGAAUGAAAAUGAGGAUUUUUCUGAUGAUGAGGACAGUGAUUACAGUGAAGAAGACACUGAUGAUUAAACCUAGUUCAGCUUUU
rnacentral:lncRNA from 1 species